rnacentral:lncRNA from 1 species
CAACCAGUCGCGCUCGCGCUUCCUACAAAAUCUCUCGUCUCAAGAAUAUCUCUCUUCGUUCUUAUUACUAAUAUUUAUUCUUCCUUUAAUUUAUCUGUUAAUUACUCUAUCUUAUCGUUCGAGAAGAACAAUAAAACCACACCUUACACGUUCGAUCAAUUAACUCGUUGGUGUCAAACACGCGCGGAUUCGUUAAGCUCAAAAUGCGUUUUUUUCUGUGGACGAAUAUCCAUCUUUUUGUGUUUCCCGCAUUCCACAGUCUCUUCUCCUAAACUAAAUUUAAUAAUCUAGUGUUCUUAUAUCAGUUUGACAUCACUGAAUUAAUUAACCCAACGAUUCGAACGUUUCUGAUGAUCAGCAAACAAACAAAAAAUCAUAUUCUAUAAUUAAUUAUACAUAUAUUUGUGUGUUUUUCCGAGGGAGAGAAAGAGAGAGGGACUAAAAGAAAUGAAAAUAAAUUUAAGAAUAAAAGUAUAAAAAAGGACGAGUUAAAUUAGUGGGGUUAUAGAGUCAUAGUCAUCCUAUAAAACGAAGAGAGAAAAGACAUAACUAAACUUACCCACCUCUUGGCAGGAUGCUCGAACGAUAAGCGAGUCCUUCAACAUUCCCAGGAGGAAGUUUUACCUCGAAUCUUCUUCG